GUCCGUUCUCACACUGCUGUAAAGAACUAUCUGGGACUGGGCGAUUUAUGAAGAAAAGAGGUUUAAUUGACUCACAGUUCUGCAGGCUUAACAGGAAGCAUGAUUGGGAGGCCUCAGGAAACUUACAAUCAUGGUGAAAGACAAGGAGGAAGCAAGAACCUUCUUCACACGGUGGCAGGACAGAGAGAGCACACGAGGAGGAAAGUGCCACACACCUUUAAACCAUUGGAUCUCACGAGAACUCACCCACUACCAUGAGAACAGCAAGGGGAACUCCACCCCCAUGAUCCAAGCCCCUCCCACCAAGUCCCUCCCCCAGCAUUAGGGAUUAUAAUUCAACAUGAGAUUUGGGUGGGAACACAGAGCCAAACCAUAUCAACAAAUAGGAAUUUAUUUUAUUUUUGGACCAAAGAGCCCAGUUUGGUUUCCUUUCUCCAUCCCACUGGCCAACACUCUGUGUGGCUUCCCUCAUAAAUGCCCCCAGGACUCAGAAUUCUCACCCCAAAGGGUUUGAGACCAAGUCUGCAAGACACGGAUCAUCCAGAUGAGUGUUUUCCUCUUUUCUCCGUGGUGCUGAGGGGCUGAGAAGCAUCUGGAGAUCUCAUGCAACUCUCAGUUUCCCACCACAGCCUCGGCCCCCACUCAGCAUGGCCCAAAAAAGGAGCAAAAAGCAGAAAGCUCAAGGACCCUCAGAAUCAAGUUCUGCAGAAAGACACAAAGCUCAAGACCAGAGGUGCAACUGAGGGAGCACACCCUGUAAGACUGCCUCCCGGACACACCACUGCAGCCAGUGAAUCGCACUGUUUAGACUUUGACUUCAGGGUCAGGGUGAGCUGAUGAGACUGGCCUCUUGAUGAGGUGAGAAGCCACCGAGGAGUGAGAGCGGCUGAGUUUGAGCCCUGCCUCUGCCGUCUGUAACUCUCUCAUCUUGAGCAGGUCCACCCCAGUGUGGGCCUCAGAUCUCCCAUCCUUGAGAUGAGAGAAUUCAAAUCCAGCUCCGGCUCUGCAGCCCACGCCCUUCCCCUGCACUGCAUGGCAUCCAAUAGGCUUGAAGAAGGAGUGAAUGACAUUCGAAGGUCACAUCAUCUAAGCCACACUCCUCCCCCAUCCCAUCCCUUGUUGUCCUUUACAUGAUUCCCAUUCAUCUUUCUUCUCUUGGGCCCAGGGGUGUGCUGGUGAAUGUUUAACAGCCACUCCAUGAAAAAAUAAAACGGUCUUGAUUGAUGGCA